rnacentral:rRNA from 1 species
GACGAACGCUGGCGGCGUGCUUAACACAUGCAAGUCGAGCGGUAAGGCCCUUUCGGGGUACGACGAGCGGCGAACGGGUAGGAGUAACAACGUGGGUGGACCUCGCCCUCCAGCUCUGGGAGUAAGCCUCGGGAAACCGGGGUACCGUAAUAACCGGAGUAUGACUCCAUGACGCAUGUUGUGGGGUGGAAAGACCUUGUGCGGCUGAGGAUGGGCCCGGCCGGCCUAUCAGCUUGUUGGUGGGGUGAUGGCCUACC